rnacentral:rRNA from 1 species
CAGCCGCCGCGGGAAUACGAAGGGUGCAAGCGUUAAUCGGAAUUACUGGGCGUAAAGCGCGCGUAGGUGGUUCAUUAAGUUGGAUGUGAAAGCCCUGGGCUCAACCUGGGAACUGCAUCCAAAACUGGUGAGCUAGAGUACGGUAGAGGGUAGUGGAAUUUCCUGUGUAGCGGUGAAAUGCGUAGAUAUAGGAAGGAACACCAGUGGCGAAGGCGACUACCUGGACUGAUACUGACGCUGAGGUGCGAAAGCGUGGGGAGCAAACAGGAUUAGAUACCCCCGUAGUCCCUGUCUCUUAUAC